GGCGGACGGGUGAGUAAUGUCUGGGAAACUGCCUGAUGGAGGGGGAUAACUACUGGAAACGGUAGCUAAUACCGCAUAACGUCGCAAGACCAAANAGGGGGACCUUCGGGCCUCUUGCCAUCGGAUGUGCCCAGAUGGGAUUAGCUAGUAGGUGGGGUAACGGCUCACCUAGGCGACGAUCCCUAGCUGGUCUGAGAGGAUGACCAGCCACACUGGAACUGAGACACGGUCCAGACUCCUACGGGAGGCAGCAUG
rnacentral:rRNA from 1 species